AUUGGCUCAAUCAUAGCUCACUACGCCUCCAAAUGGCUACCUGAGCUUUCUGGUGAUAAUGCUUGUGACAGAGGACUAACCAACUUUGAAGAAUCACCCGAAAGUGUCACAGCUUCAUGGAUGAAGAAGAGAUUUUUUGUUGAAACUCUAGUGGGUGUCUUGCCUCCAGAGAAGGACUCAAUUCCAUGCAACUUCCUGCUUCGCCUUCUCCGGACGGCAA
rnacentral:misc_RNA from 1 species